rnacentral:rRNA from 1 species
UACGUAGGGUGCAAGCGUUGUCCGGAAUUAUUGGGCGUAAAAAGCUCGUAGGCGGUCUGUCGCGUCUGCUGUGAAAACUCAGGGCUUAACCCUGAGCUUGCAGUGGGUACGGGCAGACUAGAGUGCGGUAGGGGAGACUGGAAUUCCUGGUGUAGCGGUGAAAUGCGCAGAUAUCAGGAGGAACACCGGUGGCGAAGGCGGGUCUCUGGGCCGUAACUGACGCUGAGGAGCGAAAGCAUGGGGAGCGAACAGG